rnacentral:rRNA from 1 species
AGAGUUUGAUCCUGGCUCAGGACGAACGCUGGCGGCGCGCUUAACACAUGCAAGUCGAGCGAUGAAACUUUAACAGAACCCUUCGGGGCGAAGAUAAAGUGGAUUAGCGGCGGACGGGGGAGUAACACGUGAGUAACCUGCCUUAGACAUUGGGAUAGCCUCGGGAAACUGGGAUUAAUACCAAAUAAAAUCAUAAUGACACAUGUCAUAACGAUCAAAACUCCGGUGGUCUAAGAUGGACUCGCGUCCCAUUAGCUAGUUGGUAGAGUAAAAGCCUACCAAGGCGACGAUGGGUAGCCGGCCUGAGAGGGUGAACGGCCACAUUGGAACUGAGAAACGGUCCAAACUCCUACGGGAGGCAGCAGUGGGGAAUAUUGCACAAUGGAGGGAACUCUGAUGCAGCGACGCCGCGUGAACGAAGAAGGCUUUCGAGUCGUAAAGUUCUUUUAUAUGGGAAGAUAAUGACGGUACCAUAAGAAAAAGCCCCGGCUAACUACGUGCCAGCAGCCGCGGUAAUACGUAGGGGGCUAGCGUUGUCCGGAAUCACUGGGCGUAAAGGGUUCGCAGGCGGAAAUGCAAGUCAGAUGUAAAAGGCAGUAGCUUAACUACUGUAAGCAUUUGAAACUGCAUAUCUUGAGAAGAGUAGAGGUAAGUGGAAUUUUUAGUGUAGCGGUGAAAUGCGUAGAUAUUAAAAAGAAUACCGGUGGCGAAGGCGACUUACUGGGCUCAUUCUGACGCUGAGGAACGAAAGCGUGGGUAGCAAACAGGAUUAGAUACCCUGGUAGUCCACGCUGUAAACGAUGAGUGCUAGGUGUCGGCGAAUGUCGGUGCCGCAGUUAACACAAUAAGCACUCCGCCUGGGGAGUACGUGCGCAAGCAUGAAACUCAAAGGAAUUGACGGGGACCCGCACAAGCAGCGGAGCAUGUGGUUUAAUUCGAAGCAACGCGAAGAACCUUACCAGGGCUUGACAUACUGAGGACGUACUUAGAGAUAAGUAUACUUCUUCGGAAGCCUCAAUACAGGUGGUGCAUGGUUGUCGUCAGCUCGUGUCGUGAGAUGUUGGGUUAAGUCCC